rnacentral:misc_RNA from 1 species
AAAAAAAUGUUUUUAUUUUCAAUUUGAAAAAAUGAUAUUGAAAAUUAGAAUCUUCUUUUUUUUUCGGCAGACUCUGCGGGGAGGAAACCGUAUGCUGCUUCAGCUUCUGUUUCGGCCAAAUACGAAAUCACGCCGGAUAACAGGUUUUGAGGAAUUGGAAUAUUGCAAUGAAUCCGUUGACGCUAGUGAAGCGUAUUCAAAAUAUUAAUGCAAAAGAAGCAUCUUUAGGGAUCUCCGAUCAGGCAUCCUGGCAUGCUAGAUACAAAGAUUCAGCUUAUGUAUUUGUUGGCGGAAUUCCUUUUGACCUCACUGAAGGUGAUCUCCUAGCUGUUUUCGCCCAGUAUGGGGAGGUUGUUGAUGUCAAUCUUGUUAGAGAUAAAGGUACUGGCA